GAUCCUGGCUCAGGGUGAACGCUAGCUACAGGCUUAACACAUGCAAGUCGAGGGGGCAGCAUGGUCUUAGCUUGCUAAGACCGAUGGCGACCGGCGCACGGGUGAGUAACGCGUAUCCAACCUGCCUUACACUCUUGGACAGCCUUCUGAAAGGGAGAUUAAUACAAGAUGUUAUCAUGAGUAAGCAUUUUCGCAUGAUUAAAGGUUUACCGGUGUAAGAUGGGGAUGCGUUCCAUUAG
rnacentral:rRNA from 1 species